rnacentral:rRNA from 1 species
UAGUCCACGCCGUAAACGAUGUCUACUAGCCGUUGGGAAACUUGAUUUCUUAGUGGCGCAGCUAACGCACUAAGUAGACCGCCUGGGGAGUACGGCCGCAAGGUUAAAACUCAAAUGAAUUGACGGGGGCCCGCACAAGCGGUGGAGCAUGUGGUUUAAUUCGAUGCAACGCGAAGAACCUUACCAGGUCUUGACAUCCUGAGAAUCUUGUAGAGAUACGAGAGUGCCUUCGGGAAUUCAGUGACAGGUGCUGCAUGGCUGUCGUCAGCUCGUGUCGUGAGAUGUUGGGUUAAGUCCCGUAACGAGCGCAACCCUUGUCCUUAGUUGCUAGCAGGUAAUGCUGAGAACUCUAAGGAGACUGCCGGUGACAAACCGGNGGAAGGGUGGGGACGACGUCAAGUCAUCAUGGCCCUUACGACCUGGGGCUACACACGUGCUACAAUGGACGGUACAAGGGCUGCAAACCGCGAGGGGGAGCGUAAUCCCAUAAAACCGUUCGUAAGUCCGGGAUUGGGAGUCUGCAAC